UCAACAUGAGAGUUUGAUCCUGGCUCAGAACGAACGCUGGCGGCAGGCUUAACACAUGCAAGUCGAGCGCCCCGCAAGGGGAGCGGCAGACGGGUGAGUAACGCGUGGGAAUCUACC
rnacentral:rRNA from 1 species